rnacentral:rRNA from 1 species
AUACGUAGGUGGCAAGCGUUAUCCGGAUUUACUGGGCGUAAAGGGAGCGUAGGUGGCAUAGCAAGUCAGAUGUGAAAGCCCAGAGCUUAACUCCGGGAUUGCAUUUGAAACUGCUAAGCUAGAGUACAGGAGAGGCAAGUGGAAUUCCUAGUGUAGCGGUGAAAUGCGUAGAUAUUAGGAGGAACACCAGUGGCGAAGGCGGCUUGCUGGACUGUUACUGACACUGAGGCUCGAAAGCGUGGGGAGC